GAGUUUGGUAACAGGAACUUCUCGGAUUGGUCUUUUCAUACGGCACAGAGCCUCUAAGGAUGUGCCAAAACAACUUGGGAGGUAAUUUCCACUGAUAGUCAAGAAGUAAUCUUUGCCUCGAUCCAGGUGAAGGACGAGAAUAUCUUCAAUCUUAUCUUCUCCCGAGUUCAGGAUGGUUACAGAGUCUUUGCUGACAUACACAUCAAGAGAAAUGUCCACUGUCUCAUCUGAAAUGUAAGAGAU
rnacentral:lncRNA from 1 species